CUAGCACUACUGAACAUAUACUGUGUUGCAGGUGCCACUCAUAUGAAUGAACUCACUGGAACUUCACAGCAACCUUAUGAGUAGGGAUGAUUUUGAAAGAUGUUGAGACUGAGGCAUAUCUUGCCAACAAGAUAGUGCUUCUAGACAUGGCCUCAGAGCGGAGUGGAAGCAGAGGGAAUCGAGAGACUUCAAUGCACCAGGAACUGUUCCUUGACAAGCUUAUUUCUCAUUUGUCUUCAUCAGAAGGAUUUCGAGACUGGAACAUUGAAUAGGCUGCUCACUGACAGCUGAUGGGAAGAUUAGUGAUCAAAGGUUGGAGAUAUUUGGAAAGGGAAUGUGCUCUGCUAUGGGGGUUGAUGGGAGAAUGAAGAGGAACUCUAAGCCCUCAAAUAGACAUGAUUUAAGCUAAAAGCCCAAGAAGCUGCUGUGGGGGAAGGAGAACAAGGGAUUCCGUCUCCUCCUGGAGGCUGCAUUGUGCGUCUGUCCAGGGAAGUGCAGGCGGCCCUCUUCAGAAAUGUGGAGUAGCCAAGUGGUGCUCUUGAGAAAGCCAAUUACAAGGGGCUUCUGACAUUUUAGCUCAGCUCCAUCUGAGGAGAAAACACAUUUGUUAGUGAAACAAACUGCAUGAGGAAGUCAUGGCCUUUGUGAAGAGACCGAGUGUUCAAAACGUGAUUCUUCUGGUUCUGUCAUAAUCAUUUGUCAGAGUUUGUUUCAUAUUUUUUUCUAGCCUCGAUGAAUUCAGCAUAUUUUUUCUAGCCUCAACGAAUUUGGGUCUUUCCAUCGAAUUUCAAUCAAGAUGUGAGGAUUGUGGAGAUUUUUAACUUUUUAGUUCGACUACAUGAGGCCGACAAAGCUAUUAAUUCCUCUCACAUGCAUCAGUCCCUAAUCUCCUCAAACUCUUCCCUCAGAGUCUACUGAUUCAUUCCAGAAACAAGAGCAUAGACCUCAUCAGAUUCUAUACUUGAAUUUGAAGAGGCCCACAGUGAAGCUUGAAGGAAAACGAAAGACUCUUGUUGAUGGAUAGUGUUGGAGAAGUCUAAACAGAAAUGUCUGUGGCCAGGAAGAAUGCCUCGUUGGGGACACUCUGGAAGACCAGCGUGUGUUCAGACAGAAUGAGGAGAGCUUCCCUAGAGAGAGGUAGUGGCUGAGGCUCUAACUUUGAGUUCUAACCCUGUCCUCCUAUUUAAGGUGAAAUGAAGCUCUGAACAAGAGUUUUCCUCUUCUGGAAUCUCAAAAUAUUAAACCUGAUAAGAACCUGAAUGCUGUCUAAAGCAGACCUUUCCUUUUAUAGGUCAGGAACACAGAAGAUCCCAGAGGUACCGUGACUUGUCUGCAGUUGCAGAGCUGCUUUGGGACAGGUACAGAAGCAGCCUGAGAUUCUCCCAACACCUAGGUCACCUCUGCCCAGUGACAAAGGUUCUCUCCUUCAAACCUUACUCAGGCUCCUCUGACUGCCUCUGAUCUCUCUUCUCAAAUAGGCCUUGAUUUCGGGGGCUUCUGUGUUUGUCUCUGCAUGUCCAAUUUUAGUGAGAGAUCCUGCUAAGUUGGUUUAGACAGACUCUCCCACUCUCGAUGCCUCGUGCCCCCCACAGUGCUGUCUGGUCACCCUGGUCUGCCUCCACAAGAUUUCUGUCAGGUUAGUAUUGUCAAAAUCCUUCCUGACCCCUCUUAGGGAAGUUUUCUCUUGGUAACUUAUUUUUUUUUUUUGAAGAUUUUAUUGAUUGAUUGAUUUGAAAGAGAGAGAAUGAGCAGUGGGGAGGAGCAGGGGGAAAGAUGAGGAGGAGGAGAGAGAAGCAGACCCCCUGCUGAGCGGAAAGCCCCAUGAGGGACUCAAUCUCAGGACCCCGAGAUCAUGACCUGAACUGAAGGUUAGGUGACCUUUAGAGGCUGCCCCCACUCCAAUGAUCCACCCCUAGUUACCCUUGAAAUUUCCAGUUUCUGGAAACCCUAGAAACCUAGGGGUUACCCUGGUAACCCCUAGUUACCCUUGAAAUUUCCAGUUUCUGGUAAUAUUAUUUUUCAAUGCUGGGGACAUGUACACUCAUUUUUUAAAAAUUAAUGUGUUUAGUUAAAUGUUAUUAAUGCCAAAAUAGAAAAAGGCAAGUCUAAAUUACAGAAUAUUUUGAAAGAAGUUGAUUUAAUAGCAGUUUAGUAGAGGGGAAAAAGCAGAUGUUGGGGGCUGGAUAAAAAUGAGCUGUAAUCUGUUGGUGGGAAUGCAAACUGGUGCAGCCACUCUGGAAGACAGUAUGGAAGUCAAAAAGCUAAAAAUAGAGCUACCCUAUGACCUAGCAAUUGCACUACUAGGUAUUUAUCUAAAUGAUACAAACAUAGUGAUUUGAUGCGCCACAUGCACCCCGAUGUUUAUAGCAGCAAUGUCCCCAGCAGCCAAACUAUGAAAAGAGCCCAAGUGUCCAUCGACAGAUGAAUGGAUAUAGAAGAUGUGGUGUAUGUAUACAAUGAGAUACUACUCAGCCAUCAAAAAGAAUGAAACCUUGCCAUUUCCCAUGACAUGGAUGGAACUAGAGGGUGUUGUGCUAAGUGAAAUAAGUCCAAUAGAGAAAGACAGUUAUCAUAUGAUCUCACUCAGAUGAGGAAUUUAAGAAACAAAACAGCUGAACAUAGGGGAAGGGAAGGAAAAAUAAAAUAAGAGGAAAACAGAGAGGGAGGCAAAACAGGGGGAGGCAAACCCUCCCUUAAUUCUAGGGAACAAAGUGAGGGUCACUGGAAAGGAGAUGGGUGGGGAGAUGGGGUAACUAGGGGAUGGCAUUAAGGAGGGCACUUCAAGUAAUGAGUACUGGGUGUUGUAUGCAACUGAUGAAUCACUGAGUUCUACCUCAGAAACUAAUGAUUACACAUCUGUUAAUUAAAUUGAAAUUAAAAAUUAAAACAAAAAAGAAUAAGCUGUAAUCAGCAUAGGAGUUCCUCUGUGUUUUUCCAAAGGAAUUUGCAGAAUUUGUUUGCAGACGGAGCAGUCUUUAAAACCUUUGCCACACACUUGACAAACCAUUCUCACUUCCACCAAUUCUGGACUUACAUUUGGAGGGAUUUACCAAAUUCUAAAGAAGUGUCUUCACUUCAAGAAUGUGAACAUGAAGUUUUAUUUUUAUCCUCAAUUUCUUGAAGCAUUUGAAAGGUAAAAUGCACAUAAAACAAUCAUUUGCUAAAUGCAUCCACCCCUCGGGGGCUCCGUCAACAGUUGUGUUGAUCUAGAUGCACAAAGCUUUCCUUUCCUUGUCACUUCCAAAAUUCUUGUCAAAGUUGUCAUCAAACUGAAGAUCUGACUCAUUUUUAGCUUAUCUGAGCAGGCUGUUCAGACCUGUCAGUUAUAAUUGUUCUUCCUAUUUCUCUAGUCAUUUUGGUUAAAAUUCCCCUAUCUGUACACGCCACCAAGCCUCCUCCCCCAUUUGUCCCACCUGUCACAGCUGGAUGUGGUAUUUGCUAAGACGUCCAGUUAUAAAUUCUCCUGCUUCAUUCUGGGUCUGGCUGGUCAUGGCACAGAUGCUGCUCAGUCAGGUCGGUGUUGGGCAACUGAAGCCUUUCCCUUCCUUUAAGAAUAUUUUCUAGGAGCACCUGGGUGGCUCAGUGAUUGAGCCUCUGCCUUCGGCUCCUGAGAUUGAGUCCCACAUGGGGCUCCCUGUGAGGAGCCUGCUUCUCCUUCUGCCAGUGUCUCUGCCUCUCUCUCUGUGUUUCUGAUGAAUAAAUAAAUAAAAUCUUAAAAAAAUUUUUCUGAAUUGAUGAGGUUUCUUGUAGGUGAUUUUUUUUUCCUAUAUGUUGAUAACGUUUUUAUGAAAAAAAAAAGAUUGAUGGAUAUUGCAGGAUGGUUCUGGACUUUGUUAGCUAUUUUCCCAAAUCUGGGGUGUAUGCUCAUUAUCUUUUCUAAAACAUAAUUAUGUUAUAAAGCCCGUACAUUCUAUCUGUGUAAUGGUAGAGAACUUGACACAUGGGAGGCACUUACUGUUUUCAUUGUUGCUGCUUAGUUUUCUCUUUUAUUUGGUUAAAAACUGAGGUGCAAAAUAAUGAGUUUUCCAUAUGAAUAGUUGAAGCCAGAAAAAACUGUGGAUACUGAUUUUUGAGGAUGAUCAGUUCCUGAUGUAAAGAAAAACAUCACAACGAACCAGGCACUUGGAAACGUGGUGCAGGUGCAAAGAUCAAUACAUCGUCGCAGCCAGUCUCUGUACUCUGGGGGCUUUACACACACAUAACUG
rnacentral:lncRNA from 1 species